rnacentral:rRNA from 1 species
UACGUAGGGGGCGAGCGUUAUCCGGAUUCAUUGGGCGUAAAGAGCGCGUAGGCGGCUUGUUAAGCGAGGUGUGAAAUCCGGGGGCUUAACCCGCGGCUUGCAUCUCGAACUGGCAGGCUUGAGUCUGGUAGAGGAGUGUGGAAUUCCCAGUGUAGCGGUGAAAUGCGCAGAUAUUGGGAGGAACACCAGUGGCGAAGGCGGCACUCUGGGCCACGACUGACGCUGAGGCGCGAAAGCUAGGGGAGCAAACAGG